UACAGAGGGGGCAAGCGUUGUCCGGAACCAUUGGGCGUAAAGAGCGUGUAGGCGGUCCGGUCAGUCGGUUGCGAAAGUCAAGGGCUCAACCCUUGAAUGCCGGCCGAUACUGCCGGGCUAGAGUCCGGAAGAGGUGAGUGGAAUUCCUGGUGUAGCGGUGAAAUGCGCAGAUAUCAGGAGGAACACCGAUGGCGAAGGCAGCUCACUGGGACGGUACUGACGCUGAGACGCGAAAGCGUGGGGAGCAAACAGG
rnacentral:rRNA from 1 species